GAACAGACCCGCAACAAC
rnacentral:misc_RNA from 1 species